rnacentral:RNase_P_RNA from 4 species
AGAGCGGGUGAGAUGAUCGCUCCCCGGCAACGGGGGGAGGAAAGUCCGAGCUCCGCAGGGCAAGGCGGUCCCGAAACGGGACAGGGGGCGACCCCAUGGACAGUGCCACAGAAAAGAAGACCGCCCCGGAUCUCCGGGGCAAGGGUGAAACGGUGAGGUAAGAGCUCACCAGGUCCCGCUGCGAGGCGGGAUGCUUGGAAAACCCCGCCUGGAGCAAGACCACAUAGGGAAGCGUCCCCCGCUUGUCGGGGGUAAGGACGGCCCGUCCGAGACUUCCGGGUAGGUCGCUUGUGCCGUUGAGCAAUCAGCGGCCCAGAUAAAUGGUCAUCGCCUCCGGGCAACCGGAGGAGACAGAACUCGGCUUACGGCCCGCUCUGAUC